UACGUAGGGGGCAAGCGUUGUCCGGAAUUAUUGGGCGUAAAGAGCGCGUAGGCGGUCCGAUAAGUCGGCUGUGAAAGUCAGGGGCUCAACCCUUGGAAGCCGGCCGAUACUGUCGGACUAGAGUCCGGAAGAGGCGAGUGGAAUUCCCGGUGUAGCGGUGAAAUGCGCAGAUAUCAGGAAGAACACCCGUGGCGAAGGCGGCUCUCUGGGACGGUACUGACGCUGAGACGCGAUAGCGUGGGGAGCGAACAGG
rnacentral:rRNA from 1 species